AGUUUCCGAAAGGCAGCCUUCCUCCUUAUCCUUGACGCAGCGGCGGCAUCACUGCAUCCCCCCUCUUCCCCGCAGGAGCAUGCCGUGGAGGCCCGGGGACACCAGGCUGGCAGUGCUGCAGACCCAGGCGGGCCCUGGGACACCCUCUGCAUUGUAGCACCUCAGUGCGAGGUGUACGUGAGCGUGGGCCCCGCAGACGGGACCGAGCGCUGGGACGAGAGUUGGGCAUAUCCCCUGCUCAGCUCCAGAGCAGAGGGCGAGCAGAGAGAAAACAGCGCCGAGCCCAGCACCGACCUCAGGACCUGUGCUGAAACCAAUUCCACACUCACCAGGGACAGGGAAAUGACCAGGCUGUGGGACAGCGUUUUGGGAUCAGGCAAGCGAGACAUGAUGAACUACACGGGCCACAAGGAAGAGGUGCGGAUGCGAGCCCUGCAGGCAGACAGAGCCAGGUGGGGUCAGCCCGUUCCCUCUGCACCCCGGGCAAGAACAGAGU